rnacentral:rRNA from 1 species
UACAGAGGGUGCAAGCGUUGUUCGGAAUUACUGGGCGUAAAGGGCUCGUAGGCGGCCAACUAAGUCGGACGUGAAAUCCCCAGGCUCAACCUGGGAACUGCGUCCGAUACUGGAUGGCUUGAAUUCGGGAGAGGGAUGCAGAAUUCCAGGUGUAGCGGUGAAAUGCGUAGAUAUCUGGAGGAAUACCGGUGGCGAAGGCGGCAUCCUGGACCGACAUUGACGCUGAGGAGCGAAAGCUAGGGGAGCAAACGGG